CAAACUGGAACCGUGCUCGUAAAGGCUAGUCUCGUGUUCCAGUCAAACAAAACCAACGCUGAUGAGAUCAAAGGGCUGUUUAUGAACGCGACCGCUGCCGAUAAGGAAAUAAACGGCCUUAAAGUCAACCCUAAUUUCACACAAGUUUCAGUGAAAUCUGAGGAGGCUCCGAAUGCUUUAGUGACUUACGAGCUCACCAUGGACAUCACCAACCGCAUCUACAACAGCUCUCUACUCAAGUCCAACUCUUCUGAUUAUGCGAUCUUGUACAAACAAGUUACUGACAUGCUCAACUCCAUCUACGGCUGUGCCACGUGUAAAACACACGUGUUUUAUGUCAAUGUGUCAGCGAUGACCUUCAGCAAUCAAACUGGAACUGUGCUCGUAAAGGCUAGUCUCGUGUUCCAGUCAAACAAAACCAACGCUGAUGAGAUCAAAGGGCUGUUUAUGAACGCGACCGCUGCCGAUAAGGAAAUAAACGGCCUUAAAGUCAACCCUAAUUUCACACAAGUUUCAGUGAAAUCUGAGGAGGCUCCGAAUGCUUUAGUGACUUACGAGCUCACCAUGGACAUCACCAACCGCAUCUACAACAGCUCUCUACUCAAGUCCAACUCUUCUGAUUAUGCGAUCUUGUACAAACAAGUUACUGACAUGCUCAACUCCAUCUACGGCUGUGCCACGUGUAAAACACACGUGUUUUAUGGCAAUGUGUCAGCGAUGACCUUCAGCAAUCAAACUGGAACCGUGCUCGUAAAGGCUAGUCUCGUGUUCCAGUCAAACAAAACCAACGCUGAUGAGAUCAAAGGGCUGUUUAUGAACGCGACCGCUGGCGAUAAGGAAAUAAACGGCCUUAAAGUCAACCCUAAUUUCACACAAGUCAUAGCACCACCGUCCACCCCUGCACCAACUGUCUCCAGCACUUCCCAUACAACCAAGUCUCCACUUCUUGCAACUACACACUACAACACCGCCUCGUCCUUUAAUCAAAGUCCCAUUGCUCUGACGUCAAUUCUCCGCUAUACUGUUUCGUUCUGCCUGCUUUACUUCCUCAGCUAUUCUUUUUAAUUGUGUAAACCUGCCACUAGGGGCAGUGCAACAUCUUUAUAUAAUGAAAUACGUUAAUCUACAGGGUGUACCAACAAUCUCCUUACAUAGUGGACUAUGUUCACCAGCAUCACGUCGGUUGUGUCUUUAUGAGUGGAUGUUGGUGAAUGUCCACUUCUCGGUCUGCAACACUUAUAUAUAUAUAUAUAUAUAUAUAUAUAUAUA
ensembl:lncRNA